rnacentral:rRNA from 1 species
CGACCGGCGCACGGGUGAGUAACGCGUAUCCAACCUGCCUUACACUCUUGGACAGCCUUCUGAAAGGGAGAUUAAUACAAGAUGUUAUCAUGAGUAAGCAUUUUCACAUGAUUAAAGGUUUACCGGUGUAAGAUGGGGAUGCGUUCCAUUAGAUAGUAGGCGGGGUAACGGCCCACCUAGUCUUCGAUGGAUAGGGGUUCUGAGAGGAAGGUCCCCCACAUUGGAACUGAGACACGGUCCAA